UUAGGAAAGUAGGGAUCGAACCUACACGAAGGGAUCAAAGGCCUUCAUACUUCCUUUAUAUUAUCUCCU
rnacentral:tRNA from 1 species